rnacentral:rRNA from 1 species
AGUGAACGCUGGCGGUAGGCCUAACACAUGCAAGUCGAACGGCAGCACAGAGGAGCUUGCUCCUUGGGUGGCGAGUGGCGGACGGGUGAGGAAUACAUCGGAAUCUACUCUGUCGUGGGGGAUAACGUAGGGAAACUUACGCUAAUACCGCAUACGACCUACGGGUGAAAGCAGGGGAUCUUCGGACCUUGCGCGAUUGAAUGAGCCGAUGUCGGAUUAGCUAGUUGGCGGGGUAAAGGCCCACCAAGGCGACGAUCCGUAGCUGGUCUGAGAGGAUGAUCAGCCACACUGGAACUGAGACACGGUCCAGACUCCUACGGGAGGCAGCAGUGGGGAAUAUUGGACAAUGGGCGCAAGCCUGAUCCAGCCAUACCGCGUGGGUGAAGAAGGCCUUCGGGUUGUAAAGCCCUUUUGUUGGGAAAGAAAUCCAGCUGGCUAAUACCCGGCUGGGAUGACGGUACCCAAAGAAUAAGCACCGGCUAACUUCGUGCCAGCAGCCGCGGUAAUACGAAGGGUGCAAGCGUUACUCGGAAUUACUGGGCGUAAAGCGUGCGUAGGUGGUCGUUUAAGUCCGUUGUGAAAGCCCUGGGCUCAACCUGGGAACUGCAGUGGAUACUGGGCGACUAGAGUGUGGUAGAGGGUAGCGGAAUUCCUGGUGUAGCAGUGAAAUGCGUAGAGAUCAGGAGGAACAUCCAUGGCGAAGGCAGCUACCUGGACCAACACUGAC